rnacentral:rRNA from 1 species
ACAGAGGCGGCAAGCGUUGUUCGGAAUUAUUGGGCGUAAAGAGCUCGUAGGCGGUUCGAUAAGUCGGCGGUGAAAGUCCGGGACCUAACUCCGGAAGGUCCGUCGAUACUGUCGAACCUGAGUCUGGUAGGGGAGUGCGGAAUUCCUGGUGUAGCGGUGAGAUGCGCAGAUAUCAGGAGGAACACCGGUGGCGAAGGCGGCACUCUGGGCCAGUACUGACGCUGAGGAGCGAAAGCUAGGGGAGCAAACAG